CCCGACUCCUACGGGAGGCAGCAGUGGGGAAUAUUGCACAAUGGGGGAAACCCUGAUGCAGCGACGCCGCGUGAGCGAUGAGGUAUUUCGGUAUGUAAAGCUCUAUCAGCAGGGAAGAAAAUGACGGUACCUGACUAAGAAGCCCCGUCUAACUACGUGCCAGCAGCCGCGGUAAUACGUAGGGGGCAAGCGUUAUCCGGAUUUACUGGGUGUAAAGGGAGCGUAGACGGCGGUGCAAGCCAGAUGUGAAGGACCGGGGCGCAACCCCGGGACUGCAUUUGGAACUGUGCUGCUAGAGUGUCGGAGAGGCAGGCGGAAUUCCUAGGGUAGCGGUGAAAUGCGUAGAUAUUAGGAGGAACACCAGUGGCGAAGGCGGCCUGCUGGACGAUGACUGACGUUGAGGCUCGAAAGCGUGGGGAGCAAACAGGAUUAGAUACCCUAGUAA
rnacentral:rRNA from 1 species